rnacentral:rRNA from 1 species
GACGAACGCUGGCGGCGUGCCUAAUACAUGCAAGUUGAGCGAUGAAGCUUGGUGCUUGCACCCAUUUGAAGAGCAGCGAACGGGUGAGUAACGCGUGGGGAAUCUGCCUUUGAGCGGGGGACAACAUUUGGAAACGAAUGCUAAUACCGCAUAACAACUUUAAACAUAAGUUUUAAGUUUGAAAGAUGCAAUUGCAUCACUCAAAGAUGAUCCCGCGUUGUAUUAGCUAGUUGGUGAGGUAAAGGCUCACCAAGGCGAUGAUACAUAGCCGACCUGAGAGGGUGAUCGGCCACAUUGGGACUGAGACACGGCCCAAACUCCUACGGGAGGCAGCAGUAGGGAAUCUUCGGCAAUGGACGAAAGUCUGACCGAGAAACGCCGCGUGAGUGAAGAAGGUUUUCGGAUCGUAAAACUCUGUUGGUAGAGAAGAACGUUGGUGAGAGUGGAAAGCUCAUCAAGUGACGGUAACUACCCAGAAAGGGACGGCUAACUACGUG